ensembl:snoRNA SNORD54 small nucleolar RNA, C/D box 54
UGGCUAUGAGGAUGACAAUAUUAGAAUGAUUCUAUGUGAAUUAUAUCAUACGCUAUUCUGAGCCUUUG